GCCUGAUUAGCUCAGCUGGUUAGAGCGUCGUACUAAUAUCUUUCAAAAUGGGAUAUCAAGUAAUGCGAAGGUCAACAGUUCAAUCCUGUUAUUGGGCA